rnacentral:lncRNA from 1 species
GGAUGUGGCGAGGAGGGAACGCUUGUGCACGGCGAGGGAUGGCGAGCGGGCGAGGCCACGCGGAGAGCGGCUCGCAGGUGGCCCCCGCCAGCGCUCCCCGCCAGUCACCUGCGGCAGGGGCACGGCGAUCCUGUGAGCACGUCUGUCUCCGGCCUCCAGGAAAGAUGGAGGAUCCCACCUGGGAAGCGCUGUGAUCAAGAUCCUGCGCCGACACCAGCCCCCUACUCGGAGACCCGUAGACAGUGGUGCGUGGGCUGGUCCCCCGCAAGGGAAGCCAGACUGACGUUCAGAUCCAGACUUAGAGGACUCAUCCUCCCAGUGUGGGACCGGAUUCCCUUACUCCGGGCUGGUGGGCUGGUGACGUCCCUUGUGUCGCACGCACUUACUCGCCCCGGGGAUUUGGUUCCCAGCCACCUCUCUCCCCUCCUGCCGCUUCUGAUGAGGCCUUCCCGCUGUGAGCAGCUGGGGAAGGUCUGUCGGUCUCCGGAUCAUAUUCAGAGUGAAAUACAUUACAUAUUUGUUGUUGCCUCAGUGUGUCCAUGGCAUAAAGUGAGCUCAGGACCUUCCUACUCUGCCAUUUCCAUUUCUCUUCCUUGAUUUUAAUGUUUUUUAAUCAAACCUGAAAUUUUUGCAAUCAUUAUUUCUUCAAAUAUUGUUUCUGCCUCUUUAUACCUGUACUUUCCUUCUGAAUAUCUGUUUAUGUGCAUUUGGGCAGCUUGACAGCAUUCCACAGGUGGCUCGGGCUAUAUUCCUGUUAGACUUUUUCUUCAUUCAGUUUCUCAAACUGGAUAAUCUCAGUUGACGUACUUUCAAAUUUGCUGAUUCUUUCUUCUGCCGGCUUAAGCUUAUUGUUGAAUUUCUGUAUAGAAAAUGUCACUUCAGGGGCGCCUGGGUGGCUCAGUCGGUUAAGCCUCUGGCUUCGGCUCAGGUCAGAUCUCACGUUUGUGGGUUCAAGCCCCGCGUCAGGCUCUGUGCUGACAGCUAGCUCAGAGCCUGGAGCCUGCUUCCGGUUCUGUGUCUCCCUCUCUCUCUGCCCCUCCCCCUCUCAUGCUCUGUCUCUCUCUAUAUCAAAAAUAAAUAAAGCAUUAAAAAAAAAAAGAAAAUGUCACCUCAGUUAUAUUUUUGAAAUCUAGAACUUACAUUCUUUUUCAUAAUUUGUCUUUAUUGAUACUGUAUAUUUGUUAGGACAUUAUUCUCCUAGUCUUCCUUAAAUUCUUUUUUUCAUGUUCUGUGUAAUAAGAGGUCUAUUAACUGAUAAGUGAAUGCUCCAACACAAAGCCAAUCUGUAAAAUAUUGAAGAAUUAAAGAAGCAUUUUUUCUUUUCUUAUCCUCUCCUUUCUUCCUUUCCUUCCUUCUUUCCUCUCUCCAGAAUUCAGCUGACCACAAAUUAAAGAAACAGAGACUUUUAGAGACUAUAUCCAACAAUAGAAACUUUACCUAAGUCACCAAACCAACACUGAGUGCCAGUUACCAAACUGUAGUAUUUAAAAUGUAGUUUUUGACAAGAAAAAUGACAGAGCAUUGCAGAGGAACAAGAAAAUGUGGCUCAUUUACAGGAAAAAAUUAAGGGAAACUGAGCUCCAGAAGCACAGACAUUGAACUUGCUAGACAAAGACUUUAAAUCAGUUUCUUAACUUGACAGGACAAUUGAAAUGAUCCAGUCUGAGGAGCAGAAGGGAGACGUGAGCGGAGAAGGGGCGUGGAGAACACCAUCAGGAAUACAAACACAUGGGUGUGCCUCAGUGGACAGUUAGGCGGCCGACUCUUGACUUUGGCCCAGUUCAUGACCUCGUGGUUCAUGGGAUCGAGCCCUACUUCAGCUCUGGGUCAACAGAAUGAAGCCUACUUGGGAUUUUCUCUCUCCCUCUCUG